UACGUAGGUGGCAAGCGUUAUCCGGAAUCAUUGGGCGUAAAGCGCGUGUAGGCGGUCCGGUAAGUCCGCUGUGAAAGUCGGGGGCUCAACCCUCGGAUGCCGGUGGAUACUGUCGGGCUUGAGUACGGAAGAGGCGAGUGGAAUUCCUGGUGUAGCGGUGAAAUGCGCAGAUAUCAGGAGGAACACCAAUUGCGAAGGCAGCUCGCUGGGACGUUACUGACGCUGAGACGCGAAAGCGUGGGGAGCAAACAGG
rnacentral:rRNA from 1 species